rnacentral:misc_RNA from 1 species
GUGAGUCAUCGAAUCUUUGAACGCAUAUUGCGCUCUUUGGUAUUCCGAAGAGCAUGCUUGUUUGAGUAUCAGUAAACACCUCAAAACAUUUGGUUUUUUCCAAGCGUUUUGGACUUGAGCAAACCCAACACCUUAUCUCACGAUUCGGCGGCGGGUUGCUUGAAAUGCAGGUGCAGCUGGACAUUCUCCUGAGCUAAAAGCAUAUCUAUUUAGUCCCGUCAAACGGAUUAUUACUUUUGCUGCAGCUAACAUAAAGGGAGUUUGACCGUAUUGGCUGACUGAUGCAGGAUUUCACAAGGGUCGGCAACGAUUCUUGUUAAACUCGAUCUCAAAUCAAGUAAGACUACCCGCUGAACUUAAGCAUAUCAAUAAGCGGAGGA